CAGCACUUUGAACAGCAAUGCUCAUCAUAUAAACGUGAGGUUUCCUCCAAAAGGAAUUAUGACUCAUGCUUUGAGGAAACAGUAGAGGUCAGACAGCAAGCCCAGAAAAACCUGCCAGCACCAAGAGGGAAUCCUCAACAAGCGCCUGGGGGACAUAUUAUUCUAACUGAAGGGACCAGAACUUCCCCAGGAAGGGAAGAAGAGAGAAAUGCGGAAUGCCUGUGUUCGCAUUUGCCAAAAAACAAAAGUCUGAGAAACCUCUGAGAGACUCCACAUGGGAAGUGAAAUUUACCUUUUCUAAGACCAUUGUUGAUUUUCCCUUUACCCUUGAAGUGAACUGAAAUAUCACUAAUGGUCAGAGGAAAGCUCAGAGGUUCUAAUAAAGAAUAUGAAAUAG